rnacentral:rRNA from 1 species
GGGGAAGAGCUCAAAUUUUAAAUCUACCAGGUUUACUUGGUCGAGUUGUAAUUUGAAGAAACGUUUUCCGCGUCUCGGUUGGCCCAAAUCCUUUGGGAUAAGGUAUCAUGGAGGGUGAGAAUCCCGUUCGGCCGGCCUUAUGACGCUUUACGAUACG